rnacentral:rRNA from 1 species
AUUGAACGCUGGCGGCGUGCUUAACACAUGCAAGUCGAGCGGUAACGCGGGGGCAACCCUGGCGGCGAGCGGCGGACGGGUGAGGAACGCGUGGGCAGCUGCCUCUCAGCGGGGCACAACACGGGGGAACUCGUGCUAAUACCGCAUACGCUCUCCGGCGGACAGCCGGGGACCGCAAGGCGUGGCGCUGCGAGAUGCGCCCAAGCCGGAUUAGCUAGUUGGCGGGGUAACGGCCUACCAAGGCGACGAUCCGUAGCUGGUCUGAGAGGCCGAUCAGCCACACUGGAACUGAGCCACGGCCCAGACUCCUACGGGAGGCAGCAGUGGGGAAUAUUGGACAAUGGGGGAAACCCGGAUCCAGCGGCGCCCCGUGGGGGAAGAAGGCCUUCGGGUUGUAAAGCUCUUUCGGCCGGGAAGAAAUCGUAUGGGUUAAUACCCUGUGCGGAUGACGGUACCGGCAUAAGAAGCACCGGCUAACUACGUGCCAGCAGCCGCCGUAAGAC